CAAGGUGAGAGAUACGGAGGUAGAGCACUGAAUGUCCUAGGGGGUAUUGCACCUACCGAAGACUAUCAAACUCCGAAUGCCGUCAUCUUAUACUUGGGAGUCAGACUGUGGGUGAUAAGAUUCAUAGUCGAAAGGGCAACAGCCCAGAUCGUCAGCUAAGGUCCCUAAAUGUAAGUUAAGUGGUAAAGGAUGUGGGAUUGCACAGACAACCAGGAUGUUGGCUUAGAAGCAGCCACUCAUUCAAAGAGUGCGUAAUAGCUCACUGGUCGAGUGAUCCUGCGCCGAAGAUUUCCGGGGCUAAAACUUACUACCGAAGCUACGGCAUCAGUAAUGAUGGGUAGGGGAGCUUCCCAUACGGGUUGAAGCAUGACCGUAAGGAAAUGUGGACAGUAUGGGAGUGAGAAUGUUGGCAUGAGUAGCGAGAUGUGGGUGAGAAUCCCACAGGCCGUAAACCCAAGGUUUCCAGGGGAAGGUUCGUCCGCCCUGGGUUAGUCGGGACCUAAGCUG
rnacentral:rRNA from 1 species